rnacentral:rRNA from 1 species
UACAGAGGUCUCAAGCGUUGUUCGGAUUCAUUGGGCGUAAAGGGUGUGUAGGUGGCGCGCUAAGUCGGGUGUGAAAUUUCGGAGCUUAACUCCGAAACUGCAUUCGAUACUGGCGUGCUUGAGGACUGGAGAGGAGACUGGAAUUCAUGGUGUAGCAGUGAAAUGCGUAGAGAUCGGGAGGAACAUCAGUUGCGAAGGCGGCUCUCUGGACCAGUACUGACGCUGAGGUGCGAAAGCGUGGGGAGCGAACGGG